UACAGAGGGUGCAAGCGUUGUUCGGAAUCAUUGGGCGUAAAGGGCGUGUAGGCGGUUUGUUAAGUCAUGUGUGAAAUCCCUCGGCUCAACCUGGGAAUUGCAUUCGAGACUGCGUAGCUAGGGUGCGGAAGAGGGAAGCGGAAUUUCCGGUGUAGCGGUGAAAUGCGUAGAUAUCGGAAGGAACACCAGUGGCGAAAGCGGCUUCCUGGUCCAGCACCGACGUUCAGGCACGAAAGCGUGGGGAGCAAACAGG
rnacentral:rRNA from 1 species